rnacentral:rRNA from 1 species
AACGAACGCUGGCGGCGUGGAUAAGACAUGCAAGUCGAACGAGACAAGGUUUGUAGCAAUACGAACUUUGUUUAGUGGCGCACGGGUGCGUAACACGUGAGCAAUCUGCCGGAAAAUGGGGGAUAGCUCGCCGAAAGGCGAAUUAAUACCGCAUGUGGCUAGGGGUGGCAUUGCCCCGAAGCUAAAGUAGCAAUACGUUUUCCGAUGGGCUCGCGGCCUAUCAGCUAGAUGGCGGGGUAACGGCCCACCGUGGCUAUGACGGGUAGCGGGUCUGAGAGGACGACCAGCCACACUGGAACUGAGACACGGUCCAGACACCUACGGGUGGCAGCAGUCGAGAAUUUUUCACAAUGGGGGAAACCCUGAUGGAGCGACGCCGCGUGGAGGACGAAGGCCUUCGGGUUGUAAACUCCUGUCAUGCGGGAACAAGAAAGUGAUAGUACCGCAAGAGGAAGAGACGGCUAACUCUGUGCCAGCAGCCGCGGUAACAC